rnacentral:rRNA from 1 species
GAAUUUAAUAUAAGUUGAUUAGAAUUUUUGUAAGUUAGAAAGUUUAGGAAAGUUAUAUUUUAUUGGGAGGAUAAGUAAAUUAAAAAAACUUUAAUUAUAAUUAAGCCAUUAAUUUAUGAGUUCGGUUAUAAAGGAAGAAUGAUUAAAAUUAAAUUAAAAAAAAAUUAAUUACCUUAGGGAUAACAGCAUUAUAUUUUUAGAAAGAUCAUAUUAAUAAAAAUGAUUGU